rnacentral:tRNA from 1 species
CGGUGCCCGAGUCCCGCUGGUAGGGCUCGAUGUAGUGGCCGUCGUAGGAGGCGUCGGGGUCGCCGACGUGGUUCCAGCCGCGCGUGCUGAC